UUUUUGUCUGAACGAAUUAGAAAGCAGGGAGCCUUUUUACUGCUCUCCUGCUUCAUCUGUAUUCUCGGUGCCACACGCACACUUUAUCCACACACAUCAAUACACAAAUUCAUAUUUGACUUCAUCAUACAUAUAAGCUUGUGUUAUACUUCGAGAGCACUUAUCUUUAAUUGUCUAUAUCCUUUUUUGUUUAUUGUUGAGAGUUUCUUGAAAACCAUAAGCCUUUUGGUCACCAAAGAAAAAACAUAAUCUUGUGCUUCUCACUCUUCUUCGCAGCUCUCUGAUACUCUUUAUAUGACAACUUACAUAUAGCAAAACUAAAUUUACAUGGGUUGAGUGGACGGGUGAAACUAGUUUUUGUAAUAAUUUUUUUUUUUGUAACUGAAGUUUUUGUAAUAAAUUGAUUUGGAAACUUUUGUUCAAAGCGGAUUUGUAACCGGAUAUGAUUUCCCGGGUUUAAUAAAUAAAUAUAUAUAUUUAAAAAAAAUUACUUGGGUUUAAAUUUUUGUAAAGUAACUAAUCGAGUAAUGUAAGUCUUGUAUCUUUUUUUUUGUCAACGAUGUAGGUCUUGUAUCUAAAGUGAACUUUUGUUAUAAAAUUUAACCAAAGGCAAAUGAACUUUUCUUUUGAUUAUCUACUUGUGGUAAUAUAUAUCCACAACCAUUUGAGAUCUAUAUCUAUAACAAAUAAAUACUAAAGCGCAAGUCGCCUGGCGAAUCAAAAUUUGCCACGUAAUUAAUAUUUAAAAAAUAAAUAAAAACAAAGUAAUGUUAAGAAAAUGUAGAAAACUGCUUCUAAAAACAACUACUACUCACGGUUAUCCUUCCUCCAAAAUGUUUUAUUUACUCAACUCCUAUCUCUAAAAUUCUACAAACACCCAGCGAAUAUAGUCGGUGAUCACUCAAAAGAGACGUUUCGGUAAUAGGUAACAUACUAAAUCAAUCAAAAAAAUAUAGCAUGUAAUCAAGUAAAUUCGAUACUUAUUUGUCUUAUCAGGUGUUUGCUCUAUUGGCGUGAACUUUGUUAAAAAGAAAUUGUUCGAGCCUAUCAACAAAACAAGUUCGUGUUUGCUUUGAUACAACAGUAUCAAAUUGUAAUUUUUGCUUUGUUCAAUAUAAUAUUGUGUUACAGGAGCAUCAGGUUUGAAGCAUUACAGAGAAAAGCAGGAAAGAAACUAUUGCUGCGAUCAUGAAGAGUUCUUGAUGAUUACACAAACGCUUCGAUCCUUGGUUAUCUCGCAAUUCCUAAUAUUUUUCUUCUUCUUUGUUUCUCACGUCGUUUCUAGGGUCCGUCAAAAUAAGAGAUUCUUCACUUGGCACGAGAUUUUACAAAGUUUCUUUUUCCUAAUUUCCACGAAUUUGUUUCAGAUUUGUGUGAUGUUUCGUGGUUCUGGACAUAGUGACGAUGGAGAAUCUAGAAAAGCAAUGGGUAUUGGUGAUAAAAAAAAAAACUCUUAGAGAAUGAUUACUACGGAGGUAAAACGUUCAUUAACCAGUAGAGAAACACUACAAGAGAUUAGCUCUUUUGCUUCAUCUCAGACAAGAACAAGUUCAACAGCGCAGAAGACGCCUUUCAAUUGGUUUUAGAAGCUUGGUCUCAGUCUUCUGAUCAAGAAGGUAAACAUAAAAAGAUUAGAUGCAGAAACCACAAAAAGCCACACGAGCCAGCUUCAUCACAAGCCUCGGUCCGAGUCUGGACCUCAGCUUAAGUGUAUGUGUUCUCAUUAUUUUGUACUGAUUAAUUUACUCUCAUGAGAUGAUUUUUCCAAUUAUAUGCUGAUUUUUACUGUUUUCUUUGUUUGCAAGUAAAACUAUUCCCAUGCGAAGCAUGGGGUCAACACUAGUAACAAAUAAAUGUUAAUACGCCGAGAGUGAGUUAAUUAUGUUGUUAUAGAAUUUCAGCAUGGCCGAUUAUAUUAUGAUAUUAGAAACUAGGUUGGAAAUUCACAUUUUAUCCCAAAAACUAGGUUUGAAGUGAGAAACCCAAGGGGAAUGUGGGGGUGAUAAAAAAAACAAAACAGAAGAGUUAAAUGCGCAUGCAAAGUUCAAAAAAAAAAAAUAAAAAAAAAAAAAAUAAAU